GAAAGGGACGAUAGAUCUGAUUUUUCUUUUUAACGGUCGAGAGGGAAAUAUGCCAUUUGUGGAGCUUGAGCCACACAAAGAAAGCGGCGGAAUGAUCCGCUCUCGGCGACCGCAAGUCCCGGCUCGCCCGGCGCCUGCGCGGCACGGGGGUGGGAGCUGCGGCCGGCCAUGUGCGCCGUGGAGGAGCCCGGCUGGUGGCCGAGUCUUCCCGCCUCUUUCUGCGGGGGCUGGCGGUUGGGAUACUAAAGUGCGUGUUCCUACCUUCUUUUCUCUCUGACAAGACCGCCGAGACGGGGAAUCCCCACUCCGAGGUUAACCAGAGUCGCCUAGCAGAGUCCUGGGAGACGGAAGAGCAGCCAGCAGGCUAGGAUUUAACUUAAAGUGGCCCUAGAUUCAACUAGCCAGAUUGGGACAGGAGUAGCGGUUGAGGUACAAGAGGAGGAACGAAAGAUGGUCCUUCUCCACUUCCAUAAACUGAGCAGUCAGGUUCAUGACGAAGACGUACUUAUUUCUAUAGCCUUUUUUUGUUUGUUUAACAUACCGGUGGUGUCACAGGCGUCUCGUACUUAAGCGACCCUAAAAUAAUUGCUUGCUAAUUUUCCUUGGAUUACUGUCACCUCGGAGGUAGAGGUCUGUGUUUCCGUGGCUGGAAUGUCACGAUUCUUGUUGUGUUGUAUUUUAUUAAGAAAGUAGCAAAAGUUUAUUUGGAGGUAGUAAUUUACAAAGUAAAAGUCUUUGGAAGUUAAUUUACUUGUGAUGAUUUGCUAAGAAAUCCAACACACCGGUAUGUUUUUAACAGAUGAGCUUAAGAAUGACUUUCCUACGUGGCUUUCCCAAGUUGCUAACGUGCAAAUUUUGGCUUCCUAUAUUUAGGAGUUGGUAAUAUCUGAGACAGCGCCAAGAGUUCAAUCUAGGAGAGUUUACAAGCUUAAAUGAAAUCCAUAUUACUUUUUGAUUUUGUGAUUACUUCAGAUAAGUAAUUUAUCUCCAGUUAUCCUUUUGUGAUAUUGACGUGGUAAAGGCUUGUAAGUCUUUAACUUAUUAAGACAUUUUGCCUAAAACAGAAGCAAAGUAAGUGGCAUAGGAGC
rnacentral:lncRNA from 1 species